GACAGAGGGUGCAAACGUUGUUCGGAUUUACUGGGCGUAAAGGGCGCGUAGGUGGCUUGGCAAGCGUGUGGUGAAAGCCCGGGGCUCAACCCCGGGUCUGCCGUGCGAACUGCUAUGGCUUGAGCACUGUAGAGGCAGGUAGAAUUCCGGGUGUAGCGGUGGAAUGCGUAGAGAUCCGGAAGAAUACCGGUGGCGAAGGCGGCCUGCUGGGCAGUGGCUGACACUGAGGCGCGACAGCGUGGGGAGCAAACAGG
rnacentral:rRNA from 1 species